rnacentral:rRNA from 1 species
AUUGAACGCUGGCGGCAUGCCUUACACAUGCAAGUCGAACGGUAACAGGUUAAGCUGACGAGUGGCGAACGGGUGAGUAAUGUAUCGGAACGUGCCCAGUCGUGGGGGAUAACUGCUCGAAAGAGCAGCUAAUACCGCAUACGACCUGAGGGUGAAAGCGGGGGAUCGCAAGACCUCGCGCGAUUGGAGCGGCCGAUAUCAGAUUAGGUAGUUGGUGAGGUAAAGGCUCACCAAGCCGACGAUCUGUAGCUGGUCUGAGAGGACGACCAGCCACUCUGGGACUGAGACACGGCCCAGACUCCUACGGGAGGCAGCAGUGGGGAAUUUUGGACAAUGGGCGCAAGCCUGAUCCAGCCAUGCCGCGUGCGGGAAGAAGGCCUUCGGGUUGUAAACCGCUUUUGUCAGGGAAGAAAAGGUUCUGGCUAAUACCUGGGACUCAUGACGGUACCUGAAGAAUAAGCACCGGCUAACUACGUG